rfam:Tuber melanosporum whole genome shotgun sequence assembly, scaffold_72, strain Mel28
GGCACCGUAGCGUAAUGGCUAACGCAUUGCUUUCCGGUUCUUCUAAAGAAAAUAACUGUCUGGCAAAGAUUGUGGGUUCGAGUCCCGUCGGUGUCG